GGGUUCUAAUAAAUAAGGAGAAUAAAGAAUAUACUUAUUGAUUUUAGUUAGGAGUGAACAUAAUUGAAGUACUCACUUCUCUAUCUCUUUGGGAGUUAUGGACGUGACGAGGAUAGUUUUAGUUUAUUACCUCCGAUAUUUAUGGGGAGGUGGGUGAGAAGUAAGCACCUCUCUCGGUAGUCUUGUACGGAUGUGAAGGUCGUAUGUAAAAAACUCUCUCUUGGUGGAUGAGUACACAACUUUGGUUCUAUUAGGUAAGGUUGGUGUUCUUAGAACUAGAGAUCGGAAGGGGUUCAACGAAAGGUCAGUUUAGUAGAAAGGUGGUUUAGGUUUAGACACUCUCUCUCAACUCACAACCACAUCGCGGGUUCUACGCUAAGAUAGGGUUAGUGCACUACUUGAGUACUAACCCCGUGUUGGCGUAAAGCUCGCGUAUCGUUCCACCUAUAGUAAUGUUGUAUGGUACAUGACUUAUCUACUCUUAUGUUCUAUUUCCGAAUGUGAGCGGUGUUCGAUGUUGUAGUUAUGUUAUUAAGAAGUUAUGUAUCGUUAGUAGUAUGUCUUCUCGCCCUAGGCUGAUCCCUACUUUGGUUUGCUUUUCUUCUUGCUGUAGGUGGGACGAUUAGGGUUCGAGGGGGUGGGCCUUGGGUAGGGAACUAGCUUCUUCCUCUUCGUCUUCUUGAGGUUUUAUUCGUUCGGAGCGAGAGUGCAGUAGAGUAGCGUAAUGUACAUGGACGUUGACAAUAAGGCGAUCCUUCUUCUGGCUUAGGUGCUUCAUCUGCUGGG
rnacentral:rRNA from 1 species